ACAUUGGUGGUUCAGCGGUGGAAUUCUCGCCUUCCACGCGGGAGACCCAGGUUCCAUUCCCAGCCUCAUGUG
rnacentral:tRNA from 1 species